CAACGACUCUCGGCAACGGAUAUCUCGGCUCUCGCAUCGAUGAAGAACGUAGCGAAAUGCGAUACUUGGUGUGAAUUGCAGAAUCCCGUAAACCAUCGAGUCUUUGAACGCAAGUUGCGCCCGAAGCCGUCAGGCCGAGGGCACGUCUGCCUGGGCGUCACGC
rnacentral:rRNA from 1 species